GAGUGAGAAGAGAGAGAAGCUCUGAAGGUGAAAGCCUAAGAAGGAGUUCUUGAGCUAUGAAUGUCCAUUUUCUUCCUUCUUCUCCCUUUCAGCCAACCUUCUGCCUCCCUGCGAGCUAGCACUCCCCAGGAAGCUGAUCAUUUCGGAGCUUCGCGUGGACGAAUCAUCGAGGCCGGAUGCUUGUGCGACUGCGAAGCAUCCUUGAAGGAACCUCCUUCUAAAGGUAAGAGAUCUGAUCUCUUUUAUGGUUGAGAUAUGAUCUCAAUCUUCAAAUCACAAGAAGUUGUGUUUUAUGCAUAUUUAUUGGAAUCACAUAAUCCUCGGAAUCUGAGGGCUUUGUGAUAUUUGGUGUCAAAGCAAAGGAUUAGUGGAAACUAUUCGAUUUUUGAGAACUCUCACGCGUGAUCGUGUGACGAAGCAUGGCUCUCCACCCGGGGGCUCAUAUGAUGAGUGCUUUGAUAGGCACGCGCAGGUGUCACCCUAUGUAUCGGGACUGAGCCCGCGCCACAUAUGAUGUGCAAUUGAAGACUGUCUUCGACUGGUACCAGAGUCAAAAUAUCUAAAAUAUCAAGCAUAUUUUGGGUUAAAAUGUAAAUCCAUUCUUUCCGCAUAAAAGGUUAAUUGUGUCUGCUCAACUAUGCGAAGUGGAAUGAUAUGCUUCCUUCAUAUAAAGUUGAGCUUCUUAGAGCUGUACAGAGUAAGUUUGUGCUCCCUGUAGAAAGCCAUAACUGGGUGCUAAAGUCCCUCAACAGCAAAUGGAAAGAAUAUAAGGGGAAGUUGAAGAUGGACUACAAGGGCGAGGGUAUGACAUAGGAGAAGGUUGUUCGUAAUUGUCCUCCUGAUAUAUACCCUUAUUAGUAGAGGGAGCUUAUUCACUACUGGUUUUCUGAGAGAGGACAUGUUGUGUAUACUCUCUCAAUAUUUUGGCAAACAUAUUCCGACAUUGGUAGAGCUGCACGAGCAUCUCAGAUAGUUCCUUACACUUCAGGUUCGAAGAGUUAUGUGAGGUGUAGAGAUGAAUUUAUGGAAGAGAAUGGCAGAAAGCAUGGUGAGGUAGAGUUCUACAGAAUGAUUGACACCCACCGAGAUGGCAGCUUUGUCCAGAAGGAGUUGAGAGAUAUAGUUGACAGAACUACAUCCUUUAUUUCAAUGUGUCAAAGAGUCAUUAUCAUCUAGCGAGCCAGUCGCAUCGAAGCUCAGGUGUUUGCCAAAUUGAUGGGCCCAGAGUGUUAUGGUUGAGUGAGGGGUUAUGGCGUUUACCUCCACUUAAUUAUCUGUAGCGAGUAGAUAUAUCUAGAUGUCAGACAAAGUAGUAGCAUUGCAGAGGUUUGUAGUCUGAAGAUAGCGAUGGAGAAAAUUAGGCAGAGCCAUCAGACAGAGAUGGAGGAGAUGAGGCGCAGCCAUAAAACAGAGAUACAAUCUUUGAGAGCUUAGUUUGACAAGAUUGUAUCUAUGUUGCAUAGAUUUGUCCCUCCUUAGGUAAAUAACUAUAUCUAUUUGAAUAUUUUACAUAAUUUUUAUGUAUUUUUGUAUGAGCUUAAUAAUUUUCGUAUUUUUAACUUCUAUAGUUUCUAUCUUUUUUUUGUAGAUGCAUGAUACUUUCUCUACUCGUAGAGAUGAUGAUGAUGAUGAUGCCAUCGACCCAUGAUAGCUCUUAGAUUAUUUAUUUAUAAGUUUGAUAUGUAUAUUAUUUUAUGUUUUUCGAAGCAAAUUAUAAAUAUAAAUUGACAAGGUAAAUGUAAUCAUAUUUGACAAUUUGAAUAUUUUGAAUGAUCUGUUUGACUGUGACAUGUGUUAUUAUAUGACUUUUGUUGUGUAUGUAUUUAGUGUAUAUAAAUAUAUACAGAGUUUUAAAAUUUUUUAAAUAAUCUUUUUUUAUAAAAAAAAAUAACUCUUACGAUUCUUUAAAGCGUCAUUAAAAUAUAUAUUAGCGAUGCUUCUUAACAUCAUUAAUUAAAAAUGCAAAUAAGCAUUGUUGAUAUAAGAAGCUUCAUCGCCGACGCUUUUAAAAAGCGUCGGCGAUCAGCGACGCUUAUAAGCAUCGGCGUCUUUUAUAAUUACCAACGCUUUUGACAGUAACAUAGCCGACGCUUUUGCAAUGCUUUAGAAAGCGUCAGAAAUAAAACUACCGACGCAAAAAAGUGUCGACAAUGCUUGAUUUUUCUGUAGUAAAACACUUCCUCCAUAUGGUUGUAGGCUCAAGUGUGGCGUAUCCAAAGGAAAACAACAAGUUUCUGGGCUGUAACAAUAUUGGAGUCGACUCCUGGAGACUUGGAGUCGACUUCGGCAUGCUGUGAAGACUUGGCACGGUGCAGGGGUCGACCCCAGAACUUCAGGGGUCAACUCCUUAAGAGCGAUAGAAAAAAGUCCGAGAGCUGUUUUCUGGGACAGCUUCAGGGGUCGACCCCAGGACAGCAGGGGUCGACCCCAGGACAGCAGGAGUCGACCCGAGCACUGUUUUCAUGGAAUUUUCAGGCGUGAAGCGAGCCAAGUCAAGGUUUUUCAAGUCUCAAAGGGUCUAAGUCAUUCUUAGGCUAGGUUUAGGCUCAAAGGGGGAGAGCAUGUAAGUCAUGGACUUGGGUUGAGUGCUUCCUAAUGUGGCUUAGGGGGAGAUUGAGUUGGUGUAUGAUUAGACUAAAAUUGGGUGCCUAUAUAAAGGCUUGAUGUAAUCAGUUUUAGGGUUAUCACUUGGAUUAUUGCUUGAGCAAUAAAGGAGCCACCAGAAAACUUUCUCCCA